rnacentral:misc_RNA from 1 species
AAGAAGAAGAAGAAGAAAGAAAUUAUGCUUCACUAGUAUAUAACAGUCCUGGCUAUAAAAGAAAAUCAUGCAGAUAUUAGUUCAAGUUAUCCAAAGCUUUAAUGUCAAUACGUGUAGACUGCUCCAAAGUUGCACCAUUUUUUGAGAAGCACUUACAUAUUUCUUUCCUUAAAUGAUACUAUCUUAACUGAAACCGUACAACAGGUUAGAUACCAAUCAAUUUGU